rnacentral:tRNA from 1 species
UCCCUGGUGGCUCAGUGGUAAAGAACCUGCCUGCAAUGCAGGAGACCUAGGUUCAAUUCCUGGGUCGGGAA